AUACCAUGGUGAGGACACUUUUGCAAUAACUCCUUGAACCUCUCCCAAGCCUUAUAUAAAGAUUUGUCAUCAAGUUGUUGGAAUGUAAUGAUUUCAUUUUGAAGUUU
rfam:Gossypium raimondii chromosome 11, whole genome shotgun sequence.